rnacentral:rRNA from 1 species
GUUAUAGGGACAAGCGAAUAAGUGCACAUGGUGGAUGCCUUGGCGAUUACAGGCGAUGAAGGACGUAGUAGCUUGCGAUAAGCUGCGGGGAGU